AUUGAACGCUGGCGGCAGGCCUAACACAUGCAAGUCGAGCGGAGCGGCGGACGGGUGAGUAAUGCCUGGGAAUCUGCCUGGUAGUGGGGGAUAACGUCCGGAAACGGGCGCUAAUACCGCAUACUAUCAGAUGAGCCUAGGUCGGAUUAGCUAGUUGGUGGGGUAAAGUCCUACCAAGGAGACGAACCGUAACUGGUCUGAGAGGAGGAUCAGUCACCCUGGAACUGAGACACGGUCCAGACUCCUACGGGAGGCAGCAGUGGGGACUAUUGGCCAAUGGGCGAAAGCCUGCUCCAGCCAUGCCGCGUGUGUGAAGAAGGUCUUCGGAUUGUAAAGCACUUUAAGUUGGGAGGCGUUACCAACAGAAUAAGCACCGGCUAACUUCGUGCCAGCCGCCGCGGUAAUUC
rnacentral:rRNA from 1 species